GACGAACGCUGGCGGCGUGCUUAACACAUGCAAGUCGAACGGUGAAGCGCCUUCCUUUUUGGUGGGUGUGGAUGAGUGGCUAACGGGUGAGUAACACGUGAGUAACCUGCCCCCUUCUUUUGGAUAACCGCAUUAAAGUGUGGCUAAUACGGGAUCUUCUGGGUCUUUCGCAUGAUGGGUCUGGGAAAGAUAUUUUUUCGGUGUGGGAUGGGCUCGCGGCGUAUCAUCUUGUUGGUGCGGUGAUGGCCUACUAAGGCGGUGACGGGUAGCAGGCAUGAGAGGGUGGACGGUGACAAUGGGACUAAGACACGGCCAAGACUAGUACGGGAGGCAGCAGGGUGGAAUACGGCACAAUGCGCGAAAGCCUAAUGCAGGGAGGCAGCGGGAGAGACGAAGGCCUUCGGGGUGUGAAGCACUUUAGACAGUAAAGCAGGUCUGCCUCGUUUGUGGGAGGAGUGACGGUAGCUGGAUAAGAAGCGCCGGAUAACUACGUG
rnacentral:rRNA from 1 species